UACGUAGGGUGCGAGCGUUAAUCGGAAUUACUGGGCGUAAAGCGUGCGCAGGCGGUUCGCCAAGUCAGGUGUGAAAUCCCCGGGCUUAACCUGGGAAUUGCGCUUGAAACUAGCGGGCUUGAGUGUGGCAGAGGGGGGUGGAAUUCCGCGUGUAGCAGUGAAAAUGCGUAGAGAUGCGGAGGAACACCGAUGGCGAAGGCAGCCCCCUGGGCUAACACUGACGCUCGAGGCACGAAAGCGUGGGGAGCAAACAGG
rnacentral:rRNA from 1 species